UGUCCAGACUCCUACGGGAGGCAGCAGUGGGGGAUAUUGCACAAUGGGGGGAACCCUGAUGCAGCGACGCCGCGUGGGUGAAGGAGCGUUUCGGCGCGUAAAGCCCUAUCGGCAGGGAAGGAGGAGGACGGUACCUGACUAAGAAGCCCCGGCUAACUACGUGCCAGCAGCCGCGGGAAUACGUAGGGAGCAAGCGUUGUCCGGAAUUACUGGGUGUAAAGGGAGCGUAGGCGGGGAUGCAAGUUGGGUGUCAAAACUACCGGCUCAACCGAUAGUCGCACUCAAAACUGCAGCUCUUGAGUGAAGUAGAGGCAGGCGGAAUUCCUAGUGUAGCGGUGAAAUGCGUAGAUAUCAGGAGGAACACCGGUGGCGAAGGCGGCCUGCUGGACUGCAACUGACGUUGAGGCCCGAAAGCGUGGGGAGCAAACAGGAUUAGAUACCCCUGUA
rnacentral:rRNA from 1 species